UGCAGCAGAGGCUUCUGGAGGCGAUCGAGCGGCGCGACCAGGAGAGGAUGAUCCGCGAGGAGGCGUGGCGGCGGCAGGAGGUGGCGCGCCUCGCCCGCGAGCAGGACGCCCUCGCCCAGGAGCGCGCCAUUGCCGCCUCCCGCGACGCCGCCGUCAUCUCCUUCAUACAGAGGGUCACCGGCCAGUCCAUCGCCGCCGUGCCACCGCCGCCG
rnacentral:misc_RNA from 1 species